ACGAACGCUGGCGGCGCGCCUAACACAUGCAAGUCGAACGAGUGAGAGGGAGCUUGCUCCCUCAAGCGAGUGGCGAACGGGUGAGUAACGCGUGAGGAACCUGCCUCAAAGAGGGGGACAACAGUUGGAAACGACUGCUAAUACCGCAUAAGCCCACGACCCGGCAUCGGGUUGAGGGAAAAGGAGCAAUCCGCUUUGAGAUGGCCUCGCGUCCGGUUAGCUAGUUGGUGAGGUAACGGCCCACCAAGGCGACGAUCGGUAGCCGGACUGAGAGGUUGAACGGCCACAUUGGGACUGAGACACGGCCCAGACUCCUACGGGAGGCAGCAGUGGGGAAUAUUGCACAAUGGGGGAAACCCUGAUGCAGCGACGCCGCGUGGAGGAAGAAGGUCUUCGGAUUGUAAACUCCUGUUGUUGAGGAAGAUAAUGACGGUACUCAACAAGGAAGUGACGGCUAACUACGUGCCAGCAGCCGCAGUAA
rnacentral:rRNA from 1 species